ACUCAAAUGAAUUGACGGGGGCCCGCACAAGCGGAGGAACAUGUGGUUUAAUUCGAUGAUACGCGAGGAACCUUACCCGGGCUCGAACGGUAGCGGAAUAUUUCAGAGAUGGGAUAGCCUUUUAGGCUGCUAUCGAGGUGCUGCAUGGUUGUCGUCAGCUCGUGCCGUGAGGUGUCGGCUUAAGUGCCAUAACGAGCGCAACCCUUGUUGUCAGUUGCCAUCAGGUAAAGCUGGGGACUCUGGCAAGACUGCCACCGUAAGGUGUGAGGAAGGGGGGGAUGACGUCAAAUCAGCACGGCCCUUACGUCCGGGGCGACACACGUGUUACAAUGGGUGGUACAGAGGGUAGCUACCCCGUGAGGGGAUGCCAAUCUCCAAAACCAUUCUCAGUUCGGAUUGGAGUCUGCAACUCGACUCCAUGAAGUUGGAUUCGCUAGUAAUCGCGCAUCAGCCAUGGCGCGGUGAAUACGUUCCCGGGCCUUGUACACACCGCCCGU
rnacentral:rRNA from 1 species